rnacentral:tRNA from 1 species
UCCUGGUUAACUAAGUUGGUGCAGCGCUCCACUGGAACUGGAGUUGUGCCAGGUUCGAUACCAGGACCAGGCG